rnacentral:rRNA from 1 species
GUGGCAGCCGCCGCGGUAAUACGUAGGGUGCGAGCGUUAAUCGGAAUUACUGGGCGUAAAGCGUGCGCAGGCGGCUUUGCAAGACAGAGGUGAAAUCCCCGGGCUCAACCUGGGAACUGCCUUUGUGACUGCAAGGCUAGAGUACGGCAGAGGGGGAUGGAAUUCCGCGUGUAGCAGUGAAAUGCGUAGAUAUGCGGAGGAACACCAAUGGCGAAGGCAAUCCCCUGGGCCUGUACUGACGCUCAUGCACGAAAGCGUGGGGAGCAAACAGGAUUAGAUACCCCUGUAGUC